rnacentral:rRNA from 2 species
UGAUGGAGGGGGAUAACUACUGGAAACGGUAGCUAAUACCGCAUAACGUCGCAAGACCAAAGUGGGGGACCUUCGGGCCUCAUGCCAUCAGAUGUGCCCAGAUGGGAUUAGCUAGUAGGUGGGGUAAUGGCUCACCUAGGCGACGAUCCCUAGCUGGUCUGAGAGGAUGACCAGCCACACUGGAACUGAGACACGGUCCAGACUCCUACGGGAGGCAGCAGUGGGGAAUAUUGCACAAUGGGCGCAAGCCUGAUG